rnacentral:rRNA from 1 species
GGCUUGAAGUAUUUUGCCGGCCACGGUUUCGUGUGUUAGUGCUUGAUACUCUGGCCAUCCUUCCAAUUGCUGCUUAUCUCUCUUCAUUGAUUGGUAAGUGGUAUUGGAUCUUUUACUUUGAAAAAAUUAGAGUGUUUAAAGCAGGCUAUUGCUAUGAAUACAUUAGCAUGGAAUAAUAAUUUAGGACUUCGGUUCUAUUUUGUUGGUUUCUAGAACUGAAGUA